rnacentral:rRNA from 1 species
UACGUAGGGGGCUAGCGUUGUCCGGAAUCAUUGGGCGUAAAGAGCGUGUAGGCGGCCCGAUAAGUCCGCCGUGAAAGUCCAGGGCUCAACCCUGGAAUGCCGGUGGAAACUGUCGGGCUCGAGUCCGGAAGAGGCGAGUGGAAUUCCUGGUGUAGCGGUGAAAUGCGCAGAUAUCAGGAAGAACACCAACGGCGAAGGCAGCUCGCUGGGACGGUACUGACGCUGAGACGCGAAAGCGUGGGGAGCGAACAGG